rnacentral:tRNA from 2 species
GCCUGGGUAGCUCAGUUGGUUUAGAGCAUUCGCCUGAAGAGCGAAGGGUCGUCGGUUCGAUUCCGACCCCAGGCACAA